rnacentral:lncRNA from 1 species
CGGGCUCACUUUGCAACUUUGUGCGGCGCCGGCCGCAGUGCCAGCUCGGUGGUAUCGUAUGCAAAUACGCAUGCUGACGUUACAGAUCAUGUGGGUUUUGGCGUAGAUUCCCCACUGAUCGGCAUUUUCCCCUCUUUUUCUUUCUUUUUUCUCUUUUUGCUUUUUCUUUUUAAAUUUUGGCCGCCGUCCUCGGAGCGGGCCUCUCUGCCCGAGCCCGGCACGCUGGCUGUCCCUCCGUUUCCCACGGAGCCCCGCGGGCGCCGGCCGGGGAGCGGGCCGAGGGUGGGGGAGCCAGCAGAGUUCCAUUUUGGAAGCCCGCGCUCGUCUCCGCGCGCCCAGCCCGGGUCCCCGCGUCCGCGCGCCCCCAGCCCCGGCGCCGCAGGUCCCGAAGCCCUGGCUGCUCCCAGAGUGCAUCUGUCAGAAGAUUCCCAGGAUGUGAGCCACACAAGUGUGGCGAGUCCUUCAGAACUGCGCUGUGGUGGGGACAGUCUUUGAGGAAGGAGAACUUCCGUCUUCGCAGGGGGGUGCCCUCACCAGUGAGUCCAAGUGGAACUGCCACGCUCACUAGUGCCUGGAGAGCUCCCCAUGCACUCCCGGAGGAGGGACGGGAAUCGUUCACAGUGCCAAAGUCCUACUGCUGUUUCCAAUGGGUCCUUGUACAUACUCGCUCCUCUGACCCAGGCCCGCCUCUUGCUAUACUGGAACUGAUUUGUACUCUACGGGAAUUUUGUUACCUUUUUAAUCAAGGACAACUUCCUUUUCCAGCACUACCACCGCAAGAUUUUUUCCAGGAGUGAAGGCUAACCACAUUGCUUUUCUUUGUUUUUAUUUUUCUUUUAUUAAUUUGGGAAGGGUGUGCUAGUAUUAGUGCCAUUAUAGCUAUUGGAUUUUAAGUAGGGAGAAUUUAUUUUUAAAUGUAGCCUGAAGUUUGGAAGGUUUCUUGGUGGAAAGGGCUGGAUUGGGCUGUCUCCACUCUGAGUGGAUCUGCAGGUGGCAGAUCUCUACAUCAAAUGCACUUCUGGUUCUUCCGGGCUGCUUUGGGACCCCUGCCUCACCCACACACAGGUUUUCCACUCGUCUGACUUCUCCACUGCUUGUCUCAGGCCAGCGUGGCCAGCAUCGCUAGAAGGACUGGGUAGCAGGUGGCUGUUCUCUUAAGCACCUUUUUAAAUACCAGCAGGAAGGGCUCCACAUUUAUUAGCACCAUCUAUGCUUAUGAAGUUAAACAAACAAAAGAUCUCCCUUUCAAGGUGGUACAAAGACAAACAGCUUUGGGUUUUCAUUUCUCUUCUUAACUGCCUUUUCUUGGUGUGGUAUUUGAGAAGCUUUAGCUUGAAGCCUCACCAUGAAUCGAUACUUUGUGUGCGUGCGUGUGUGCGUAAUGCGUGCGUGCGUGCGUGUGUGUGUGUGUGUCUGUGUGUUUUGGGCCAAUUUUAGAUACAUGAGUGCACUUUUUUUUUAGAUAGUCCUAACUUUUAAAGAAGGAAAACCAAGAGAUACAUCCGGUAUAAAUGUUGCAAUGUGAUUUUUGUUUGCAAUCCCUUUUCCCCUCCUGACAUCCUUCUGUUGAGUACACUGCACAAAUAAAAUGCUAGGGAGUUUGAAUAAAAACCAGUUUUUCUAACUUGUUGCUCAUUUGUUGUAACUCAAUAAAGCAAAGACUAAACAUUUUUAUAACCUUUUCCUCUGUUCCUUGCUCUUCACUGCUGCUGGCUCCCAGGCCUUGGGGUUCCAACCGAGUUCCCCCUGCUGCAAAUCCAUCUCAACCCCCUCUCCUCAUCCACCUCGGGGGUCCAACAGCGCAUGGGGCUUUAGAAACAGGCUGCUGCCGUGGGCUCUUCUGAGCCUCUGGAACAGAGCAGGAAGUUCUAGAGCCUCCCUUCUCCAGAGCAGUCUCACAUUGUUCUUAAAAAUCCU